AUAAUGAGGUGGAGCGGACAGAAUGGAGCUUGCUCCCGGAUGUUAGCGGCGGACGGGUGAGUAACACGUGGGUAACCUGCCUGUAAGACUGGGAUAACUCCGGGAAACCGGAGCUAAUACCGGAUAGUUCCUUGAACCGCAUGGUUCAAGGAUGAAAGACGGUUUCGGCUGUCACUUACAGAUGGACCCGCGGCGCAUUAGCUAGUUGGUGAGGUAACGGCUCACCAAGGCGACGAUGCGUAGCCGACCUGAGAGGGUGAUCGGCCACACUGGGACUGAGACACGGCCCAGACUCCUACGGGAGGCAGCAGUAGGGAAUCUUCCGCAAUGGACGAAAGUCUGACGGAGCAACGCCGCGUGAGUGAUGAAGGUUUUCGGAUCGUAAAGCUCUGUUGUUAGGGAAGAACAAGUGCAAGAGUAACUGCUUGCACCUUGACGGUACCUAACCAGAAAGCCACGGCUAACUACGUGCCAGCAGCCGCGGUAAUACGUAGGUGGCAAGCGUUGUCCGGAAUUAUUGGGCGUAAAGGGCUCGCAGGCGGUUUCUUAAGUCUGAUGUGAAAGCCCCCGGCUCAACCGGGGAGGGUCAUUGGAAACUGGGAAACUUGAGUGCAGAAGAGGAGAGUGGAAUUCCACGUGUAGCGGUGAAAUGCGUAGAGAUGUGGAGGAACACCAGUGGCGAAGGCGACUCUCUGGUCUGUAACUGACGCUGAGGAGCGAAAGCGUGGGGAGCGAACAGGAUUAGAUACCCUGGUAGUCCACGCCGUAAACGAUGAGUGCUAAGUGUUAGGGGGUUUCCGCCCCUUAGUGCUGCAGCUAACGCAUUAAGCACUCCGCCUGGGGAGUACGGUCGCAAGACUGAAACUCAAAGGAAUUGACGGGGGCCCGCCCAAGCGG
rnacentral:rRNA from 1 species